GGCAGAAAUAGCAGUAAGCCAACUGGAUCAACUGAGCCCAGAGGAACAGUUGCUGGUCAAGUGUGCUGCAAUCAUUGGUCACUCCUUCCAUAUAGAUUUGCUGCAGCACCUCCUGCCUGGCUGGGAUAAAAAUAAGCUACUUCAGGUCUUGAGAGCUCUUGUGGAUAUACAUGUGCUCUGCUGGUCUGACAAGAGCCAAGAGCUUCCUGCUGAGCCCAUAUUAAUGCCUUCCUCUAUCGACAUCAUUGAUGGAACCAAAGAGAAGAAGACAAAGUUAGAACAGAGGAAGAGUUCCUAGAUCAAGUGAAGAGGAAGCUGGCUCAGACCAGCCCUGAGAAAGACCUGUUGACCACAAAGCCUUGUCACUGUAAGGAUAUCCUGAAGUUAGUGCUCUUACCCCUCACCCAGCAUUGCUUGGUCGUUGGAGAAACCACCUGUGCAUUUUAUUACCUGCUGGAGGCUGC
rnacentral:lncRNA from 1 species